rnacentral:rRNA from 1 species
AGGACGAACGCUGGCGGCGUGCCUAAUGCAUGCAAGUCGCACGCAGGGUGCUUGCACUCUGAGUGGCGCACGGCUGAGGAUCACGUGGGAACAUGCCUCCUUGUGGGGGACAACACCGCGAAAGCGGUGCUAAUCCCGCAUACGCUCGGUAACGAGGAAAGCGGUAACGCGCAGGGAGAGUGGCCCGCGGCCCAUCAGGUCGUUGGUGGGGUAAUGGCCUACCAAGCCGGUGACGGGUAGCUGGUCUGUGAGGACAGACAGCCAGACUGGGACUGAGACACGGCCCAGACUCCUACGGGAGGCAGCAGCAAGGAAUUUUCGCAAUGGGCGCAAGCCUGAACGAGCAACGCCGCGUGGAGGAUGACGGCCUUCGGGUUGUAAACUCCGUUUUCGGGGAUGAUAUGACAGUACCCGGAUAAGGCUCGGCUAACUCUGCGCCAGCAGCCGC